rnacentral:rRNA from 1 species
UACAGAGGGGGCAAGCGUUGUUCGGAAUUACUGGGCGUAAAGGGCGCGUAGGUGGCCUUCUAAGUUGAACGUGAAAUCCCUGGGCUCAACCCAGGAACUGCGUCCAAGACUGGGAGGCUUGAAUCCGGGAGAGGGAUGCGGAAUUCCAGGUGUAGCGGUGAAAUGCGUAGAUAUCUGGAGGAACACCGGUGGCGAAGGCGGCAUCCUGGACCGGCACUGACACUGAGGAGCGAAAGCCAGGGGAGCAAACGGG